rnacentral:rRNA from 1 species
GAUGAACGCUAGCUACAGGCUUAACACAUGCAAGUCGAGGGGCAGCAUGAACUUAGCUUGCUAAGUUCGAUGGCGACCGGCGCACGGGUGAGUAACACGUAUCCAACCUGCCUUCAACUCAGGGAUAGCCUUUCGAAAGAAAGAUUAAUACUUGAUGGCAUAACCUGGUCUCCUGACUUGGUUAUUAAAGAAUUUCGGUUGAAGAUGGGGAUGCGUUCCAUUAGGCAGUUGGCGGGGUAACGGCCCACCAAACCUACGAUGGAUAGGGGUUCUGAGAGGAAGGUCCCCCACACUGGUACUGAGACACGGACCAG